rnacentral:lncRNA from 1 species
AUGUUAAUGGAUAGCAGAGAACUGGAAGUUUUUAGAAUAAAGAACAAAGAAGAGAAAAAACAUGAAUCCAUAAGAAACAGAUCUGAGUUCAUCUUUGAUAAUGGGACUCUGAUAAUAAACCGUGUGAUCAGAGCAGAUUCAGGAAAUUACAGAUUAGAGUUCUAUCACUCGGAUGGCUCAAGAACAUUUAAAAAGCAUCUACUUAUUAAUAUAGAAGCUCCUAUUGGCUCAGUGGAAGUGACAAUCAACUGCUCCUCCAAUCAGAGGUCAGUGUUCUGCUCAUCUGACGGGGAUCAGCUCCUUUACAACUGGACUCUGAAUGGAGAAAUACUAGAACAAGGACCAAUGAAUGGAAACACCACCAUUCAGCUAAAUGAGGGAACUGAUGGAGACAUCAGCUGCAGUGUGAAGAACCACUUCAGUCACGCACAGAAGACCAUUAGACUCAAACCCUGUCCUGGUCCAGUUCGGUUCUGCAGUUUUAAUCAAACAGAUCCCUGUUACACAGCUCUGGGAGACAAACUCCAUCUGCCGAUGGUGCUGAAUGCUAUAGAAUAUGACCUGAAGAUACGUAAGAAGAUAUACAACACUCAAGAUGAUCCAGUUUGUAGAGUAAAACAAGGCAGGAUAAAGGAAUGUGAUCUUAAUAAUAACAGAACUGAAUUGACAGUCAUUAAUGGGACUCUGAUAAUAAAUCGUGUGAUCAGAGCAGAUUCUGGGAAUUACACAUUAACACUCUCUCACUCUGACGGAACAGAAACAUCUAGAGAUCUUCAAGUGAUUGUUGAAGCUCCUAUUGGCUCAGUAAAUGUGUCAAUCAUCUGCUCCUCCAGUGGGGUGAUGAGGGUGUCCUGCUCCUCUGAGGGGGAUCAGCUCCUCUACAACUGGACUCUGAAUGGAGGUCCACUGAUGGAUGGAAACAGCAGCAUUGAUCUGGAUGAGAGAACUGAUGGAGACAUCAGCUGCAGCGUGAAGAACCACGUCAGUCACGCACAGAAGACCAUUAGACUCAAACCCUGUCCUGUAUAUGUAGUGUCUGUGGUGUUUGUUCUGGUCUGGUGUCUUCAGCUGAUGGUUCUGUUCGGUCUGUUAGGAACUUUUCACAUCUACAUGAGACACACGUCAGGAAAGAAAGAGGAAGAUGAUAAAGUGAGAAUGAGAAGAUUUAGAGAAGGACAUGAACACACAGCAGAAGAUUCAUGAGAGCAGCAGCAGAUCUUCACAUCUGUGAGAAAUGACUUCAGAAUCAGUCCAGCUUUCACCUGUCAACAACAGAUCUUAUAUAAAACCAAGAGAUUCAUUAAACCAGGAGAUGAAUUAACCAGGUAUUCUACAGUUUUAGUUAUGAAGAUCAUUUUCUGCACAGCUGUGUUUUGUAAUAGUUUUGUUGCUUAUUUUAUUAAUUUGUAUUUUUAUGUCAUUAUAUGAAACUCCUUCUGUUCAUCCGUGACCAAACUCUUUUAUUUCUCUGAAUCAGAUCUGUCAGAUUGUGAACUCUUUUUUUACUUUUAACGUUUAACCACAUUUAUGCAUUUUUCUUCACAAUAUAUUUGUGUCAUCAUAGAAUAAUGAUAAACAUGUCAUUCUUUAGAAACUGUAAUUGAGGUCUUUGCUGAAUUUGUUAUGCUUAACUUUGUUUAAAAUAAAAUGCUUUGAAAUGAAACCAUUUGCAGUCAAAAGUCACAAGCUCAUUUUUUUUUUUUUUUAAUGCAGUCAAUUAACAUGUUAUCUAUCAGCAUGAUUCCACGGUUGAUAUUUAUUUUAGACUAUUCAUGAUAACCUAAAGCUAGUUGUCUUGGUCAAAUCUUAUGUAACAACAUUAGACAGAUUCAUUUCAGCAACAAUCUGAAAUCUGACCCGACAGAUCAGAAUAUCGAUUAUUUACAGACUUAGAGCAGUAAAACACAACAUUAAAUACACUAAAACAGCAUUAUUUAAUGAUGAAUUAAAUUGUUUGUUAACUAUUAAUGAAUAAUUAGUUGAUGGUAACUGAAAAGCAUCUGUAAUGUGUCUUUAAUUAACAGUUAAGUUCAGAUAAAUCAGAUGAAGUUCAUUUUAAGCGUGAUGUUGUGAGUGAAAUGAAAGCAGCUGUAGUUGUAGUUUCCUCCUGCAGGUGUCGCUCUCUACAUGAGCAGCUCUGAGCAGAUAUAAACUCAAUGUCCCAUGAGUCUCAGCUGCAGCAGACAGAAGAUUGAAGCUCACAAUCCUCUCUUCAUUCACACAUCAACUGAUGGAUCCGAGUCAAACAUCAUGACACACAGUCUGCUGGAAACACCACAUAUAGACCUGAUUCUGCUUUACUCUCAAUAAACAUGUCUACAGCAUCUCAUCAGUCAACUAAAGACACUGUUUCAGUGGAUUUAAAGGAGAAUCUGUAAAGCAUAUUUCAUAAUAGAAAUUGAAAAUCAUUAAUAAACAACCAUAAGAAAACGUGUUGCUUCUAAAACAAGAUUUGUUUAACUUUGUGCCUGAAAAUGGUUCCUUUCACUUAGUUUCAUUUGUUUUGGAUAAAUUGUGAUGCAAACUAGCAGGAUGAGUAUUCCCCCAUAGCCUGUAGUGAUGGGUCAUUCUUGAAUGAUUCGUUCAUUUUGAACAAAUCAUUAAUGUGACUUGGAAAGAACGAGUCGUCUCGGAGAGUGAUUCGUUCAGUCACACAUGCACAAAACUCUAUAGGUUCUUUACUGGAAUUAGUUCACCUCUUUCAGUCAGUGUAGUUUGAGACAGAAAGAGAAUUGAUUAGUUAAUGUAUUGAAUCUUUGGGUUUUUUGAGUCGUUCGCUCAUCACGUAACCAAUGCAAUCUUGAGCCGGAAAGAGACUGAAUAAUAAUAAAAAUAACCAACUAUUUAUUACAUUUGUUACAACAUUCAGUGUAUGGAAAAUAACCAUCAUGACAGAAAUUCACACAUAAAUAAACAGUAAGAAAUAAAUAGCUACAAUUUGAGGCCAGAAAUGCAGUAACUGAGUAAAUAAUUAUAAUAAUGAUUAUAAUGAUGAUGAUGAUAACUUUGCACGUUUGUAAGGAAUCUUGUAAAUUAAUUUCUCUAUCCAAUGCUGUCUCUUCACAUGACAAAAAAAUAAACAAUAGGUUAAAGCCUUUUAUACAGUCUGUGGUCAAAACUUAUGGGGCUGUCACGUGAUGAAGGUACUGUAUGACUCAAAUCUGAUGACUCGAUAGAUAAACUACUAAAAUAUCAUUAAUGAUAUUAAAUAUCAUUAAUGUAAAUUAAAUAUAAUUUCAUAAAGAUUAGGACAUUAUUAAAAAAGAGAUUGUUGUCACUGCACUACCUGGCCAGGUGGCUCACCUUUUGUGCCUCAAUGUCAUCCACAAACUUAAUGAAGAGGUUGGAGUUGUGUGAUGGUGUGUAGUCGUGGGUCAGCAGAGCGAAGAGGAGGGGGCUCAGCAAACAUCCUUGAGGGGCCCCAGUGUUCAGUGUGAUAGUGCUGGAUGUGUUGCUGCCGACCCGUACUGCCUGAGGUCUUCCAGUCAGAAAG